rnacentral:lncRNA from 1 species
AAUCACCUAAAAAAGGUACACAAACGGAUGGUUCUACUUUACUUCUAUUACCUUUUGUCAACGGUGCGUGUUUUAUAUGUUUAAGACACCAUCGCGUGACUACGAUGUAUAGAUCUCGAAACAAUUCAUUUUAGUCAUUUUCCCUUGUAUAUUUAUAUUUAUUUGUUAUUUAUAAACAAAAUAAAUAUUUAAUUCAAUACGUAAUCCAGUAAAAACUUAUAAAUUAAUAAAUUUUUCUUGUUCCAAAUUAGACGGGUUCAAAAUAUGACAUGUUACUUUUGUUAUAUAUUUAUUUUUUAUUUAUAAACAAAAAAAUAAUAAUUCAUUAC